AAAAAUAUCUGACUGGUUUCUUUAUGAUAUUGCUAAGAUUCUAAUGGUUAUUAGGAUUUAAAAGAACUAAUUAAGAACAUUUUUCGGAAAGAAAGAAAAUUUUUGGUGGAAGAUCAUAAUCGAGAUUGAAUAAACUGACAGUGUCGAUAUCCAAAACUCGUUUGGUAGACAUAUCCUUGACAAUUUUCAUGUACGCUUCGCAGUAAAAUUUAUAAACAAUUGUUAGUAAUUAAAUUGGCGCCAAUUGCGCUCUUUUUAUUGCAGACUUGCUCCUGUAUUUUUUUUAAAAGGUUAUAGAAAUUAUCAGAAAGAUCUGACUAAAUGCUAUCUUAUUGACAAAUUAAAAAAACUAACUGUUAUCUAGAUGAAAUUUGUGCGUUCAAAAUUAAUGUUUCUAAAUAUACUUU
rnacentral:lncRNA from 1 species